CACGUAGGGGCCAAGCGUUGUCCGGAUUUAUUGGGCGUAAAGAGCUCGUAGGCGGUUGGGUAAGUCGGGUGUGAAAACCCGGGGCUCAACCCCGGGCCUGCAUUCGAUACGGGCAGACUAGAGUUCGGUAGGGGAGUCUGGAAUUCCUGGUGUAGCGGUGAAAUGCGCAGAUAUCAGGAGGAACACCGGUGGCGAAGGCGGGACUCUGGGCCGAUACUGACGCUGAGGAGCGAAAGCGUGGGUAGCAAACAGG
rnacentral:rRNA from 1 species